AAAAGGAGGAAGGAUGGACAUAUGAUAAAUGGACAAGAAAGCUGCUGGAGGUGUAUGGCAGCCAUGGAAGGAUUGCAAAAAAAAGUGAUAGUGAUGCAGACCAAGAUUGGAGGUCGUUUACCUGAAGUGGAGAAGCAACAUCAGCAGUUUGGUUUUUCACAGUGUCGAGAAGAUAAGGUCAGCCCACGUUAAGCAAACACCUGUCUUCACACUCAAGAAAAGGGUCAAGAAGCUGCUGACCCAUCUUGA